UCAAAUCAGGUAGGACUACCCGCUGAACUUAAGCAUAUCAAUAAGCGGAGGAAAAGAAACUAACAAGGAUUCCCCUAGUAACUGCGAGUGAAGCGGGAAAAGCUCAAAUUUAAAAUCUGGUGGUCUUUGGCCAUCCGAGUUGUAAUCUAGAGAAGUGCUAUCCGCGCUGGACCGUGUACAAGUCCCCUGGAAUGGGGC
rnacentral:rRNA from 1 species